rnacentral:rRNA from 1 species
GGGACACGUGGUAUCCUGUCUGAAUAUGGGGGGACCAUCCUCCAAGGCUAAAUACUCCUGACUGACCGAUAGUGAACCAGUACCGUGAGGGAAAGGCGAAAAGAACCCCGGCGAGGGGAGUGAAAAAGAACCUGAAACCGUGUACGUACAAGCAGUGGGAGCCUCUUUAUGGGGUGACUGCGUACCUUUUGUAUAAUGGGUCAGCGACUUAUAUUCUGUAGCAAGGUUAACCGAAUAGGGGAGCCGAAGGGAAACCGAGUCUUAACUGGGCGUUAAGUUGCAGGGUAUAGACCCGAAACCCGGUGAUCUAGCCAUGGGCAGGUUGAAGGUUGGGUAACACUAACUGGAGGACCGAACCGACUAAUGUUGAAAAAUUAGCGGAUGACUUGUGGCUGGGGGUGAAAGGCCAAUCAAACCGGGAGAUAGCUGGUUCUCCCCGAAAGCUAUUUAGGUAGCGCCUCGUGAACUCAUCUCCGGGGGUAGAGCACUGUUUCGGCAAGGGGGUCAUCCCGACUUACCAACCCGAUGCAAACUGC